UACGUAGGUGGCAAGCGUUGUCCGGAAUUAUUGGGCGUAAAGCGCGCGCAGGCGGUCCUUUAAGUCUGAUGUGAAAGCCCACGGCUCAACCGUGGAGGGUCAUUGGAAACUGGGGGACUUGAGUGCAGAAGAGGAGAGUGGAAUUCCACGUGUAGCGGUGAAAUGCGUAGAGAUGUGGAGGAACACCAGUGGCGAAGGCGACUCUCUGGUCUGUAACUGACGCUGAGGCGCGAAAGCCAGGGGAGCGAACGGG
rnacentral:rRNA from 1 species